rnacentral:rRNA from 1 species
UAGCAUAUCAAUAAGCGGAGGAAAAGAAACCAACAGGGAUUGCCCUAGUAACGGCGAGUGAAGCGGCAACAGCUCAAAUUUGAAAUCUGGCUUCGGCCCGAGUUGUAAUUUGCAGAGGAUGCUUUUGGUGCGGUGCCUUCCGAGUUCCCUGGAACGGGACGCCACAGAGGGUGAGAGCCCCGUAUGGUCGGACACCAAUCCUGUGUAAAGCUCCUUCGACGAGUCGAGUAGUUUGGGAAUGCUGCUCUAAAUGGGAGGUAAAUCUCUUCUAAAGCUAAAUACCGGCCAGAGACCGAUAGCGCACAAGUAGAGUGAUCGAAAGAUGAAAAGCACCUUGAAAAGGGGGUUAAACAGUACGUGAAAUUGUUGAAAGGGAAGCACUUGUGACCAGACUUGGGCCGGGCGGCUCAUCAGGGGUUCUCCCCUGUGCACUCCGCCCGGUACAGGCCAGCAUCGGUUCUUGCCGGGGGAUAAGAACGGAAGGAACGUGGCCCCCCUUCGGGGGGGUGUUAUAGCCUGCCGUACGAUACCCUGGCGGGGACCGAGGUUCGCGCUUCCGCAAGGAUGCUGGCGUAAUGGUUACUAGUGACCCGUCUUGAAACACGGACCAAGGAGUCGUCCAUUAGAGCGAGCGUUUGGGUGUCAAACCCGCACGCGUAAUGAAAGUGAAAUUAGGUGAGAGCUUCGGCGCAUCAUCGACCGAUCCUGAUGUUCUCGGAAGGAUUUGAGUAAGAGUUUUAACGGACGGACCCGAAAGACAGUGAACUAUGCUUGUAUAGGGUGAAGCCAGAGGAAACUCUGGUGGAGGCUCGCAGCGGUUCUGACGUGCAAAUCGAUCGUCAAAUAUGAGCAUGGGGGCGAAAGACUAAUCGAACUGUCUAGUA